GAACAUGAUAUUAUACGUUCACUGACGUAACGUGUGUUUUAAAACAGCGAAACAUUUAAAUGAUCGUUUAACCAUCAAACAAAACCCUCGUCUACCUGACGGUUACGGAGAAUCUGCCGUUGAAAUUUCGGCAUUGUUCUGAAUUAUUUGAUUUCGGUAUUGGUGAACGACUUCGCGCUAAUGAUCCACGCACGUUCGAAACACUCGAACGCCAGACGGUUUUCUCAAGUGGCGACGGUUCCAGAUAUCAGACAAGGCGAAACGCCGUCGUAGAAA